GGGGGGAGGCGGAUCCUGGGCUGUGUCCCGACGCCCUGUGCUCCGGGACCUGCGCUGUUGGAUUCGCGCUCCCGCCGCCCGAGCCCCU
rfam:Canis lupus familiaris chromosome 5, whole genome shotgun sequence.